rnacentral:lncRNA from 1 species
GUAUUAUACAUACUUAAGCUGUGUUAUAUUUAUCUGUACAUGAUUGCAAAAGUUAUACUCUUUGUUAUACAUGUUAUAUGGACAUUUAUUAGUUCGGUGCACAUUUUAUGCAAAAGACUCGUGCUUCUUGUUUCAAAAUUAUUAAUCAAAUAAUUCAGUAAGGUGAUCACUAUUGUAAAGACGCUGUGCUGCCUAAAACAAAAUUUGAUACAAGAAGCACCAACUCACAACAGAUAAACCAUGAUAUUUUACACCAAUUUAUGCAAUUCUACUUUGUAUAUGUUUUUACAUUUAUAAAUUGUAUUAUAUGCAAAAUGUGAAUUAAAUUGCAAUGUCGUAUAUGAUUUUUAAGGAAAGUGUAAAUUUAUAUAUUGAAAAAAUGGGC